rnacentral:lncRNA from 1 species
AGGGGGCACCAGGGCGGUGAGCGGUGCUGCCAGACGUGGGUUUGUUUCAAUCUUCAUUUUCUAAAACAGUUUCCAAUCAGUUCCAGCGAGAAUUAACACACUUUAAUCGGUCAAAAUAGUGACAAAACAAGUUUAAGCAGCACCCAUCACAAAAAAUCAAUCAAUUUCAUCACCUAACAUCAAACCCUUUUCAAGAACAUGCAUCUUCAUCAAAAUUUCAUCAAUGGAAAGAUUAGAACUCUAAUUUGCAUGAAUUACUUGGUUGGAAGCGAAGAAUCAACAAAGAAUGCACAAACAAUCGGAUGAAAAACAAGAUCCUAGUUGCCACCCCUUCAAAACCCCAAACUUGGAUUCUUGGAUGAUGCAAAAAUGGUGGAACCUUAGGGUUUUGGUGAAAUAGGAGAGGGGGAGAGUGAAAAAGGCACUUGGGAGAAGUGUUUAGAGAGGCUAGGUUGUGAGAAAACUAAAAAUGAGGGCUUGGGUGAGACCCUUGGAGUUAAAAAGAAUGAAAUUUGGGCCAAGCCCGCCUGGGCUUCGAACAAAAGAUUCAACCUGGAGAGUUGCCGCUCGGGUGCCCUCUAGGGGGCGCUCCAACGGCGGGCGGUACUGUUCCCCCUUUAAUUUUUACUUUGUUUUGGGUUUUCCUGUCCAGGGGUUUUCAGAUUCAACUUAGAAUUUUCAAGCUUCCUAUCCCUAGCUCACACAACACUUAAAUUAAACAAUUAAUCUCUUCCCACCCAUCUUCAGUCAAACAAUCACACAGAAACAAAAUUUAAAUACCACAAACCAAACAAGGAAAACAAUAAACAAAUCUAAACACUAGGUUGCCUCCCAGCAAGUGCUUCUUUAAUGUCACUAGCUUGACCCAAUAAGCUUAAUCAGUAGCAUUCUUUAGUAGACGCUUGAUCACAUGCAACUGUCCGGUGCCUCAACUGUUUCCUUUUUCUGGACAAUUUUUUCUUUUUGUUGAAUUUCCUCAAGAAUUUAAUAUAACCAGGAACUUGUUGUAGUGUCCCAAUCACAGGAAUUUUAAUCUCCAUUUUUUUGAAGACUCCCAUGAAACGCUCAAACUCUUUUUCCUUCUUCUUCGUGUGAUAUUUCUUUAGGUGAGGCAGAGGUUUUUGAUAUAAUUCUUCCUUUUUUCUCUCAUCCUCCUUCUCUCCCUUUUUCUUCUCUUCCUUAUCUUUUUCCUCUUUUCUCUCACUUUCUUCCUUUUCUUUCUCUACUUCAUCUUUUUUCUUUUUCACUCAACCUUUCUUUUUCUUUUCUCUCAUCUUCUUCCUUUUCUACAUCUUUCUCUUUCUCACUCAAACUUUCUUCUUCUUCUCUCUCUAUUUUUCUCCCAUCCUCUUUCUUUUCUUCUUUUUCUUUUUCACUCAACCUUUCUUCUUCUUUUCCCUAUACUUUUCUCUCAUCUAAAACCUUGCCACUCUCGCUGACAACAUUCUUGCAUUCCUUACUAGGGUCAUCUCUCAAAUAACUCCCAAGAUUAUCCUUCUUUUUGAGUAUGUGAUUGUCAACACCCAAUUUCGUCCGGGUGACUAAAUGAUGAGACUUGGUUUUUAUUGUUGUCCUAUUUAAUUUAUUUUCU